UUUGAAAAUGGGUUACAAGGGAUAAUGUCGGGUGUAGGGUAGGCUGAACAAAGAAGAAAAUUGGUUUAAAGUGUGGCGUUGGGAUGGGUAAAUAAUGGUAGGAAGGGAAACUUGAUGAUCGGAGUAAUAAGUGAUAAUGAUAAAAACUCGCAAGAUUUUUCACUUUUUUUUCUUUCUUCUUUUUUUUAACUUGAUUUUUUUGUCACUUCUUUUUUUUUUCCUUUUUUUCAAUUUUUUUUGAAUUUUUUUCCGAAUUUCUUCUCUUUUUUUUAAAUCCAAUAUAAUAGUAAACUAAAUACAAGGAAGAAAAAAAAUUAAAUUCCAACUCAAAAUUUUUUUGAUUUUUUUGACUUUUUUUUACGUUACGAACCUACUCCGAGCUUGAUACGAAUG
rnacentral:lncRNA from 1 species